UUUCAUUGUGAACUAUGUGUGCGAGUAAUCGAACCAAGGACUGGCACAUGGAGCAUAAAGAUUCGGGGCAGUAAUCGAACCAAGGACUGGCACAUGGAGCAUAAAGAUUCGGGGCCCUGUCGGGACCGGGUCCUCACAUAUGGUAUGACAGCACAUGUUAUCUACACAUCAUGACACUAGGAAAUGGAAAGACCAUGGGAAC
rnacentral:lncRNA from 1 species